AACAAACGCUGGCGGCGUGCCUAACACAUGCAAGUCGUACGAGAAAGGGUCCUUCGGGGCCUGAGUAAAGUGGUGCACGGGUGAGUAACGCGUGGAUAAUCUGCCCUUCAGUUGGGAAUAACUCUUCGAAAGGUGGGCUAAUACCGAAUAAUGCUGUGAGACCUCGGUUGAUCAGCCAAAGAGAGCCUCUGCUUGCAAGCCCUCGCUGAAGGAUGAGUCCGCGUACCAUUAGCUAGUUGGUAGGGUAAUGGCCUACCAAGGCGACGAUGGUUAGCUGGUCUGAGAGGAUGAUCAGCCACACUGGAACUGAGACACGGUCCAGACUCCUACGGGAGGCAGCAGUGAGGAAUCUUGCGCAAUGGGGGCAACCCUGACGCAGCAACGCCGCGUGAGUGAGGAAGGUCUUCGGAUCGUAAAGCUCUGUCGGAUGGAAAGAACCGCAUAGGGGUAAACAGCCCCUGUGUCUGACGGUACCAUCAAAGGAGGCACCGGCUAACUCCGUGCCAGCCGCCGCCGUAAUAC
rnacentral:rRNA from 1 species